UGGCGGCGUGCCUAAUACAUGCAAGUCGAGCGCAGGAAACAAGUAGAUCCCUUCGGGGUGACGCUUGUGGAAUGAGCGGCGGACGGGUGAGUAACACGUGGGCAACCUACCUUGUAGACUGGGAUAACUCCGGGAAACCGGAGCUAAUACGGGAUGAUCAUUUGAAUCGCAUGAUUGAAAUGUAAAAGUGGGGAGUAAUCCUCACACUAUGAGAUGGGCCCGCGGCGCAUUAGCUAGUUGGUAAGGUAAUGGCUUACCAAGGCAACGAUGCGUAGCCGACCUGAGAGGGUGAUCGGCCACACUGGAACUGAGACACGGUCCAGACUCCUACGGGAGGCAGCAGUAGGGAAUCAUCCGCAAUGGGCGAAAGCCUGACGGUGCAACGCCGCGUGAACGAUGAAGGUUUUCGGAUCGUAAAGUUCUGUUAUGAGGGAAGAACAAGUGCCGUUUGAAUAGGGCGGCACCUUGACGGUACCUCACGAGAAAGCCCCGGCUAACUACGUG
rnacentral:rRNA from 1 species